rnacentral:rRNA from 1 species
UAAUACAGAGGGUGCAAGCGUUAAUCGGAUUUACUGGGCGUAAAGGGUACGUAGGUGGUCUAUUAAGUCGGAUGUGAAAUCCCUGAGCUUAACUUAGGAAUUGCAUUCGAUACUGAGAGACUAGAGUAUGGGAGAGGAUGGUAGAAUUCCAGGUGUAGCGGUGAAAUGCGUAGAGAUCUGGAGGAAUACCGAUGGCGAAGGCAGCCAUCUGGCCUAAUACUGACACUGAGGUACGAAAGCAUGGGGAGCAAACAGGAUUAGAUACCCUGGUAGUCCAUGCCGUAAACGAUGUCUACUAGCCGUUGGGGUCUUUGAGACUUUAGUGGCGCAGCUAACGCGAUAAGUAGACCGCCUGGGGAGUACGGUCGCAAGACUA